UACGAGUGCGUCGAGCGUUAUCCGGAAUCAUUGGGCGUAAAGCGCACGUAGGCGGCAUUGCAAGUCGGAUGUGAAAUCUUAUGGCUUAACCAUAAAAGUGCAUCCGAAACUGCAGUGCUUGAGUACUUAAGAGGAUCGCGGAAUUCCCGGUGUAGAGGUGAAAUUCGUAGAUAUCGGGAGGAACACCAGUGGCGAAGGCGGCGAUCUGGGAAGAUACUGACGCUGAGGUGCGAAAGCGUGGGGAGCAAACAGG
rnacentral:rRNA from 1 species